rnacentral:tRNA from 7 species
GCAUAUGUGGUGUAGUGGUAGCUACUCUUGGCCUUUGCUUAAGAGGUUCAUGGGUUCAAAUCCCCUUAAGGACA